UUGAGGUCUGGGAGAUCCAUUUUCUCCUGAAGAUAUGAAUAUGUAAGAUGAAGUAGAAGUAGAAGUAGAAGUAGAAGUACAAGAAGAAGAAGUACAUAUAAGUUCAGUCUAUGUACUGUCAAUUGUUGUAUGUUUACUGUCAAACCAAGAAUUAGUCAAUUGCUAUCUGUUUACUGUCAAAGCAAGAAUGACAAUAUUGUUAUGGUCAAUUGUUGUCCGUUUACUGUCAAAGCAAGAAUUAGUUUCCUAGGUUAAUGAAACAUUACCAGCCAUAAUUAGUUUUCUGUAUCUUAAUUAUCUCUAAACAUUUUUGCCUGAAAAUUGAAUGUACAAUGUCUCUGUAGAUAAUUUGGUCGAAAAGGGACGACAUGCUGAGGUCUACAACAUUCAGUUUCUCUUUCGGCAUGCUGAGCUCUAUAAGUGAUCACAUUCUUUGUAUGGAUCUUAUUGAUUGAGUACUUGUUAACAUUGGUACCAUUUUCUUCAGAUUUUCGUUGGUGGUCUUCUGAUGGAUUUGGAAGGAAGAAUUCUUGGUAUGAAUUUCAUAGACGAGAAUAAAACUCCCUUUUUGCCCAUCCAGAUUGUUGGGAGAUGCCUGAAACACUUCAGAAAUUUGGGACAUUUCUUUCCUGUAUAUGGGACGAUUGCUUGAAGGAUUUGGUGUUGGUGUCAUAUCCUACACGUUUUGACAGGUGAACAGAUGGACAGUGGCUGCUCCUUGCUGAUCAAUUCAAAAUUUCUCUGGCUAUCAAUUCAAUCUUGCUGUGACUGGUGAGAAGACGUCCUGGUCAAUCACCACAUCUGAUCAAUUUCUGUCUAUGGCGAGAAGAAGUGGUACAACUCCGGCGAUCAAUUUCUUUGGCGAUUAACAAUUUUGAUCAAUUCAAACAGCAACACAGGCAGCGCUAGUGCUGCUGUUGGUCAGUGCUGGGAGGAGCACGGGCGGAGGUUAAUUGGCCGGAUCCGGAGCUCCAGUGCCUGAAUCGAGGAGCUGGAAGGCUGAGGCAGGAGGAGGAGCACAGGCUGCGCUGCUGCUGCUGUUGGUCAGUGCGGGGAGGAGCACGGACGGAGGUCAAUUGGCUGGAUCCGGAGCUCCAAUGCCUGAAUCGAGGAGCUGGAAGGCUCAGGCAGGAGGAGGAGGAGCACGGGCGGCGCUGCUGCUGGUCGGUGCGGGGAGGAGCAUGGGCGGCGCGAAGGCCAGGAGUCGUGGGCGGCGCGACGGCCAUGAGUCGCGGGCGACUGGAGGCUGUGGCGGACGGCGAGGGAGCUGCAUACGAGUUUGGGCUCUUGAUUGGAGCGGAGGAAGGCGGCCGACGAGGGAGCUGCGACCGGCGCGGACGGACGCCGGAGCUGCAGUAGUGGGAUGGAGCCUAGCGGAGGGAAGGAGCGAUGGAGUAAGACGAAGAUCCCCGACGACAAGAAUUUCAAAUUGAGGGUAGUUUGGUACUUUAUCCUGUUUUCACCUGGUCGAAAAAGUUCCCCAAUGACAACUAUUUCG